CAGACUUUUAGAAAAUAUUCUUGUAUGAUAAGGGAGGAAAAUAAUUCUUUCAUGGACCUGGUAGACUAGUCUGUAGGACAGCAAGAUCUUGGAUGACAUCAUCAUCAUAAUCAUUUACUUAUUUACUUAUGUACUUACUUACUUACAUACUUGUACCUCACUCAUCUGACUCAGUUGCCCCAGCCACUCUGGGUGGCUUCCAACACAAUAUAAGCACAAGAAAACAUCAGACAUUAAAAGCUUCCUGAAACAUGACAGCCUUCGGAUAUCUAUGGAAGGUCAUAUAAUUGUUUAUCUCUUUGACAUCUGACGGGAGGGCGUUCCGCAGGGCAGGUGCCGCUACCAAGAACGCCCUCUGCCUGGUUCCCUGUAACUUCACUUCUCACAAUUGAGGGAACAGCCAGGAAGCCUUCAGAACUGGUGUCUGGGCUGAGUGAUGGGGGUGGAGAUGCUCCUUCAGGUAUAUCGGCCAUUUAGGGCUUUAAAGGUCAGCACCAACACUUUGAAUUGUGCUCAGAAACAUACUGGGAGCCAGUGUAGGUCUUUUAGGACCAGUGUUAUAUGGUCCCAGCCCCUGCUCCCAGUCACCAGUCUGGCAGCUGCAUUCUGGAAUAAUUGUAGUUUCUGAGUCACCUUCAAAGGUAGCCCCAUGUAGAGCACAUUGCAUUUGUCCAAGUGGGAGAUAACCAGAACAUGUACCACUCUGGUGAGACAGGCAGGUAGGGUCUCAGCUGGCGUACCAGAUGGAGCUGGUAGGCAGCUGCCCUGGAAACAGAACUGACCUGCACUUGGUUCCCCAUCUGUGGAAGCCUCUUCCCAGGGAAACUGGCUAAAAAUACACCAUCAGAGAUGCUUCAGUCAAAUGCAUGCCUUCUUCCAGCAUAGCAAUGGUGAAAUUAAGUACGUAAACUCUGAGGAAGAAGCAGAACAUGCCCACAUUUUAUACUGGAAAUGGGGGAAAAGUUCUUAGUCGUGCUAAAAGGAAGUGGUGCCAAAUCUUCUUGACAUGGCGACAUCCCGUUCUUAGGAGCGAAAUGCAAAAUAGCCCUUAGUCUGCUUAAUGUACUAAAAUUGAAAAGAGCCUAUGAGAGAUGAGACAGGCACCUUAGAAAACAGAAUUUAAAAGGCAAAGCAAUGCAGGGGAAACAAGAGACAAGCUCAUUAAAAGUGUUCUAUGAAAGCUUGGCUCCAGAAAACCCCCGUCUCCAUCCAGUCCUGUCUGCCACCCAGUGUUAGCUGAAAACUUGUGAUGUGUUGGCAAGUGAUCUUUGAGUGAAUCCCAUUGAGCAGUAUUCCGGACUCACUCCAUUCCAUACGCUGGGAAAUUCCCCCUCCCCGCCCAUUGAAAGCAGCCAUUCAUAUGACUCGGGUUUCUCUUUCCUUUCUUUAGAACCAGAAUUCAACAUCAUUAACAAGGAGAUAGGCCUACAUAUGGAGGAAGAAGCAGUUGCCGGGGGGGAGACAAGCAUUUCCUCUGUGUCAGGCUGGUUCUUGAAUGAGUCAGCAAGCAGAGGAUGAACUAGGGUUCCACACCUCCAGCAAGUUCUCAUCAAUGGGAAAUGUCCAGCUUUCAUGCACCGUCUCGAUUCCUUUGUUCCAUGCGACCCCCAUGCCUGGGAUUGCGUGGGUGGCAACAGCCAGAGCCAAGCAUCAGUUAGAUGUGUGGAGGAACCCUCUUGUGGGUUUGCUUCUUGACUUCAGGAGGUUCUGCAUGAGAAAAUUUCCCAACCAUUGUUUUGCUGAGGGAGCUCUGCUGUACCGCAAGUGAGUCUGAAAUGAGUGCAUUGAGAUGCAAAUAAACUUUGCUUUGAAUUUCUUUUUUUUAAACUUUGGACACCCACAGAAAUGAUGUGUGAUGGCUUGGGACUCGGGCUUGGAUUCGGAACCAGAGGAGUCUCAAUCCGCACUUGAUCCUCUGCCUCAGACUGUGAACCGAGUCUGGGGCCUGAUUCUGAAGAGUCCCAGUCUGCACAGGUUCCCCUGCAACAAGUACCAGCUGGGCCGAGACAGGGGCCUGAGCCUUCCCUGGCUCCAGAUGUGGGGAUUACCUCGUUGCCCUCUGCUGGGCAAUCACGUACAGCUGCUCCACUACCAGUUGGGUCAGGAGAGGCUGAGGCGGCUUCUGGGUGUAGUAACCCACCGACAUCUCCCAAGCUGUAGAGACUCAGGUCUGAGAGAAGGAGAGACCUGAGUACUCACACGAGGAGUGCUCGCCUUCGGGCGAAACAGGGAGGUGAGUCAUUGGGGGAUCAGGACUGGCCGUUACCCCAUCAGAGAUAAAAGGCUGCCGGACA
rnacentral:lncRNA from 1 species